rnacentral:rRNA from 1 species
GACGAACGCUGGCGGCGUGCUUAACACAUGCAAGUCGAACGGAAAGGCCCUGCUUUUGUGGGGUGCUCGAGUGGCGAACGGGUGAGUAACACGUGAGUAACCUGCCCUUGACUUUGGGAUAACUUCAGGAAACUGGGGCUAAUACCGGAUAGGAGCUCCUGCUGCAUGGUGGGGGUUGGAAAGUUUCGGCGGUUGGGGAUGGACUCGCGGCUUAUCAGCUUGUUGGUGGGGUAGUGGCUUACCAAGGCUUUGACGGGUAGCCGGCCUGAGAGGGUGACCGGCCACAUUGGGACUGAGAUACGGCCCAGACUCCUACGGGAGGCAGCAGUGGGGAAUAUUGCACAAUGGGCGGAAGCCUGAUGCAGCAACGCCGCGUGCGGGAUGGCGGCCUUCGGGUUGUAAACCGCUUUCGCCUGUGACGAAGCGUGAGUGACGGUAAUGGGUAAAGAAGCACCGGCUAACCACGUG